UACGAAAGGGGCUAGCGUUGUUCGGAAUUACUGGGCGUAAAGCGCACGUAGGCGGCAUAGUAAGAUGGGGGUGAAAUCCCCGGGCUCAACCCGGGAACUGCCUUCAUGACUGCAAAGCUCGAGGAUGUGAGAGGUUGGCGGAAUUCCGAGUGUAGAGGUGAAAUUCGUAGAUAUUCGGAAGAACACCGGUGGCGAAGGCGGCCAACUGGCACAUUUCUGACGCUGAGGUGCGAAAGCGUGGGGAGCAAACAGG
rnacentral:rRNA from 1 species